GAAAGACGCGCAUUUAUUAUCAUCAUCAUCCCUGAAUCAGAGAUGAAAGUUUGGCCACAGUGAUGUGGCCUUUU
rnacentral:sRNA from 17 species